UUUUUUUUUUUUUUUUUUUUGUCAAAAUCUAAGAAUUGGGCUGGGUGUGGUGGUAUGCACCUUUAAUUUCAUGAAAAUGGAGACCUUAUAAGUCAUAUAGCCUUUCCUUCUCAAAGGGCCAUUUUUUUUGUUCUCCAUUCCCUGGUCUAUCUAGUCAGUGCUCUACUCUGUAUCAGUUGUAAAUGGGGGCAAGACGAAAUAUGGCCCUACUGUCGUCAUGUUUUCAUUUUAGGUAGAAGAGAGUAGUUGAGAGCAAACGAUGUUAGUAGGUAGGCAAGCAGUGUGCCUGUAAGUUCAUGAUGCAAUGGGUGCCCAGAGCCUCACCGGGUACUGAGUGGAGGCUUCUACAGUAAGAAGUAGCAACAGUUAACCUUUACAGUGGGUCUCCAAGCAGAGUUAGAAGGGAAAGAUUUGGAUGAUACUAAGAAACAGGAAGAUGUUUACUGGAGAGGGUGCUCACUUGUGGUACUUACACAAAGAAGGCUGGGUGAAGCCUCGAGAUCAGUUUGCAGAACUAUCUGCAUUUAAAAAUCGCCUAAAAUGCUGUGUGUGCUACCAUUGUUGCCUUAAGAAUAGAAAUGAUGCAUCCUGAAAAGGCCUUCCUUUGUCACCUUCAUGGCCCCUUGUUCUGAGUCCUGUACACUCACUAGUCACUAGAAUGGUAGAUGGAUUGAUUUCUUAUAAUAAUAUGUUUCUAUUCAGUUGGUCUUUACAGCCAUUAAAUAAUUUCUAAGCUUGAUCAAAAUCCAGUUAAGGCUCAUUCUCUUUUUGUUCUUCAAUUGGAAAGCCAGAGCAGCUGCUUCCUGGCAUGUCUGGCAUUUUAGGGAAACAAUUAUGGAAGCAUUAGUUCAGUGACAUGCAUGUUCUCUUGCUUGCUUUAACUAUGCAAGAUAUGACCUCCCCUCCCCAGACCAUUGACACCAAGGCUUGACGAAGACACCUCAAGGGAAUUUUUCACUGGAAGGAAAUUUGCUUAACCCAAGAAACUGAUAAAAGGGGGAAUCUGUCCACUUUGGAUCGGAGCCUUAUCACAUUUGUAUGAAAAUAUUUAAGUGAAGCAGCUGGAAGACAAUAGUGAGUUUUAAUUAUCUUCUAAUAGCCAAUGGGCUCUUGCCAACACAUGCUUAUAACCUGUCGGUUGCUCUGCGCCAUAACAAUCUUCACUUAUGAGCCUCAGCUGUUACAAAUUGGAAAAUAUAUUCACAGCAAUGAUCUUUCUUGUUAAAUGCAAAUUCCCCAAGAUGUUUAACCUUCAAUUCGGUCCUAGUACUUUGUUUCUGUUGCCCUCUCUAGUGGAAUUGAAAAGGCUAGAAAAAUCUGCUCAUAGGAACCAAUCUUCUCCUUCAUAAUCUAUGACUCUCAUUAUGACACUAAUGAUCACAAUUCUUACACAGAAAGAGUAAAAUCUUUUUCAAGGAUCAUAAAUUAUGUUCCUGUAAAGUGACUACAAAAUCACUUUUAAUGGUGAUGUACAUUAGUUUCAAAUCUGCCUGGUGCUUUCUUGGGUUCAUUCAUCUCAAAUGGAUUUUGAAUUCCAAGGCAGUUACUAUUGAAUCUGUCACUUCUCUAUGUCCUCCCAUAGGCUGAGGGAUGGAUGGGUAGAUGGCUAUGAUAGAUGGAUGGAUAGAUGGGGGGACAAAUGGAAUUGAGUUAUGGAUAUGCAUACAGCUAUAUCUCUCUGUGUAGUACUUGGCACCCAUCACACGCUCUAUUGAAUGAACAGAAGCCAUGUGAAGUCACUGACCUCCACCGAUUUGUCACCCUUGCUCUGACCUCACUGGUACUUAUUUCUAUGCUUCCCUUGGCUGUUCUGCUGAUGGCUUUCAGCUCUCUUCCUCCCCUCAUCCUGAUGUUUCCCAAGCCUGAGCCCAUAACUUCCAUUUUCUGAUUUUAAGCGGAUGAUUCUCGAAUCUAUGUCCAUAGGUCAGACCCUAUAAAUCUCUUCCAGUUCCAGACUUCCUAUUGCCUUCAUAUGAGGUCUCCAGUUACAUAGUCAUUGUUGCUUCCAAUAACUGAAUAUAUUUAUUUUCUUUCUGUAAACUAUUUUCUAUUUAGAGUUUUAUUUUUCCUAAUUUUUUGUUAACAGAUUUGUAUUUGCUUAAGUUUAUAUAUACAGUCAGUCUUUAAGGACUACCAUGUUUUUCUUCAAAAUGUAUUUGGAAUCAACAUCAGGAUUAAAUUGUACUUUAUUUUUACUGAAAGCAUUGUGGUUUAAAUAUAGAGACUUCUGUAGUGAUUUCCAAUAUAAAAAGUUAAUACAUGACCAGUUUAUGCUGUGCCAUCUUCCUUGGUCCCACACAAGCAGGACAUGUGGCAGGUGCCAUUACUUUAGAUUCUGCCAUCACAUCACAUUCAUUGAUGAGCUCAUCUCAUUUGACUAGGGAGGGGUUUGCAUCAUUUUGAAAAUUCAUAUAUGCAAAGCAGCAAUUGUUAAAAAUCCAGAAGUUGUUCUAAGUUAUAGUACAGCUAGGAGCUCCAUGAUUACCAUGAAAGGAAAGAGCACACACUCUGCUUGUGGAUUUGGGGGAAAUAAGUUUGGUAAUUGUUAAGUGAUUAAAUGCUGAAGAUAUCCAAAGGAACCUGAGAAAUGACAUACCAAGAGAAGAGUUCAGUGCCCAAGUGCUCAGCAAAGAUGUGAAAGAGGAGAGGAACCAAGGCUAACAUAAUGCCAACAGUACUAAAGUGGCAGGGAGAGGAGAAUUCUGGGAGCCAUCUGGGCAACUGGAGUCUUCCUAGAAAGCAGGGCCAAAAUUGUGCACUUUUGGAUGAGGUAAACAUCAGAGGUAGCACAUCUGUAGACAUCUGCACAUCAUUAUUUAUGGUAUCUCAUAUCUAAUAUGAGUACUCAUAUCUACUGUCUUAGGGCUUUGCUGCUGUGAACAGACACCAUGACCAAGGCAAGUCUUAUAAAAGACAGCAUUUAAUUGGGGCUGGCUUAUAGGUUCAGAGGUUCAGUCCAGUAUCAAGGCGGGAACAUGGCAGCAUCUAGGCAGGCAUGGUGCAGGAGGAACUGAGAGUUCUACAUCUUCAUCUGAAGGCGGCUAGCAGAAUACUCACUUCCAGGCAGCUAGGAUGAGGGUCUUAAAGCUCUCGCCCACAGUGACACACCUACUUCAACAGGGCCACACCAUCUAAUCAUGCUGCUCCCUGGGCAGAACAUAUACAAACCAUCAUCUCUACUGACACACCUGACGCAUAUUCAGAACUUUGAGACACCCUCAAACCAAGUUUAAAAGCUCACCUUAAGCAUGAGUCCUUAGCCUUUUUAAUGCCUCAGUGGGCUGAGCUAACACAAACAAAAAGACAGUUAACACACAGAGAUGAUAUGAGAGAAACUUGUGUCAGGUUGUCUAUACUUUGCUUUGUACUUGGUAUAAAAAGUGAACCUUGCUGAUGAUGAAAAGUCUUGGAUAAUCAGAUUAUCAUUUCGAAUGCCAGUCUGGACACUUGUAUGUAGGAGGCCCAUUGAAGACUUCUUCAAGUCAGUGGGAAGAUGCCCAGAGGACAUUUAUUUUAUUUGCUAGUGGCUGAAAAUUAGGAUGGAGGGAGGCCUUUUGUAUGCAGCACUUGCUUGUAUGGUCAUCCUAGAAUAUCGCUCUGGUUCAGUCCAAUCCCCUUCAAUCCAUUCCUGCUGCUGCUACCACUGCCAGGGUGUAUGCGUGCAUGCAUCUGUCUGUCUGUCUGUCUGUCUGUCUAUCAGUCUGUUUUGAUGGGCAUGGACUUUGG
rnacentral:lncRNA from 1 species